UACGUAGGGUGCGAGCGUUGUCCGGAAUUAUUGGGGCGUAAAGGGCCCGUAGGCGGUUUGUCGCGUCGGGGAGUGAAAACCUUGGGCUUAACUCAGGGCUUGCUUUCGAUACGGGCAGACUAGAGGUAUGCAGGGGAGAACGGAAUUCCUGGUGUAGCGGUGAAAUGCGCAGAUAUCAGGAGGAACACCGGUGGCGAAGGCGGGUCUCUGGGCAGUAACUGACGCUGAGGAGCGAAAGCGUGGGGAGCGAACAGG
rnacentral:rRNA from 1 species